rnacentral:tRNA from 1 species
GCCAAAAUAGCUCAGUUGGGAGAGCGUUAGACUGAAGAUCUAAAGGUCCCUGGUUUAAUCCUGGGUUUCGGCA